UACGUAGGGGGCAAGCGUUGUCCGGAUUUAUUGGGCGUAAAGAGCGUGUAGGCGGCCCGGUAAGUCCGCUGUAAAAGUCAAAGGCUCAACCUUUGAAUGUCAGUGGAUACUGCCGGGCUAGAGUCCGGAAGAGGCGAGUGGAACUCCUGGUGUAGCGGUGGAAUGCGCAGAUAUCAGGAAGAACACCCGUGGCGAAGGCGGCACUCUGGGACGGUACUGACGCUGAGACGCGAAAGCGUGGGGAGCGAACAGG
rnacentral:rRNA from 1 species